rnacentral:rRNA from 1 species
CGGCGGACGGGUGAGUAAUGCCUAGGAAUCUGCCUGGUAGUGGGGGACAACGUUUCGAAAGGAACGCUAAUACCGCAUACGUCCUACGGGAGAAAGCAGGGGACCUUCGGGCCUUGCGCUAUCAGAUGAGCCUAGGUCGGAUUAGCUAGUUGGUGAGGUAAUGGCUCACCAAGGCGACGAUCCGUAACUGGUCUGAGAGGAUGAUCAGUCACACUGGAACUGAGACACGGUCCAGACUCCUACGGGAGGCAGCAGC